rnacentral:tRNA from 8 species
GCCGGGAUAGCUCAGUCGGUAGAGCAGAGGACUGAAAAUCCUCGUGUCA